GCGGACCAGCCGAGAGGGCGUUACCCCGUCUCCUGCCGCAUGGCCACCGCAAUGCGGAACAAAUCCCAAAGUAAAUGUCCGCUUUCUGAUUUAUUUCCAUUUCCCUCCGAGGGAAGUUGGGGCGUUUGUGAAGCGUCUCCUGCGGCCGGAGUCUGAUGUAUCGCUGAGAGGUCAUUUAUAAGAAGAGUAGGGGUCCCAGAACAGAUCCCUGAGGAACACCACUGGUCACCGACCUCCAUGCAGAAUAUGACCCAUCUACAACCACUCUUUGCCUUCUGUGGGAAAGCCAGUUCUGGAUCCACAAAACAAUGUCACCUCGCAUCGCAUGCCUACCAUGAGAAGGCUGCUUUAAAAUUGGGUAUUGCUGUGUGGUGCAGCUCAAAGAACCUGCUUCACACAUUGAGGGGUAUCUUCCGGGUAUUCCAGUUUCCACCCACAAUCCAAAAAUGUACUGGUUGGCAGAAGGGAGUUCCAUGAUAUUCCUGAAGACACCUUCCAAACCUACAACCUCUGGGACAUAUGGCUUGGGCAGACAAGGAACUGGCGCUUUUAUUUUGGUCUGUGGCUGGCUCGACAAGCAGGGACCCAAUCUCUAAGUUGGACAUUCCCUUGACAGCCCCUGCUCUUGAUGGGAGACCACAAGCCAGGAAACGUGUGUCAUGUUUCAUGUUUCAGAGUUCCCGUGCUUCAUGAUUAAUUUCACCUUAUCUAUUCCCUGGGGUCCCUCUCAUCUGAGGGUCUCCGUGGUUUCCACAGCAUGUCCCUGUUAUGGUUGAACUGGGCUGGGCUUGCAGCUGCCAUCGGAUCUGCCUCUCAGAAGCUUACGGAUUUCCCCGGACUGUAAUCCGUGUUUCCAAGUCUGCCUCUCACAAUUCGAAGUCUUUGACCUAUAAUGAUGUCAAGAACCUUUCCAGGAAUAUUACAACCGCUUUGAGGCUUUUGGAAAACAGACUGCAAAUCACACGCUAUGAUUGUGCAAAAAAGUUAUUCUAGGGAUCUGUCUUUCCCUCUCAGCAGCUGAAAUGCUGGUCAAGGACAGGUAUAUUCAAGAGGUUUUCGCUUCAUGGAUAUCAGAUCCUGCUUUUCUCCUGCAGGAUUGUUUUUUUUUUGUAAUCACAAAAGAUGGGUGCCUGAGACCUUGUAUAGAUUAUGGGUUCUUUAAUAAAAUAACAGUAUGAAUCACUAACAACAGGAAUUCUGCAGAUGCUGGAAAUUCAAGCAACACACAUAAAAGUUGCUGGUGAACGCAGCAGGCCAAGCAGCAUCUGUAGGAAGAGGUACAGUCGACAUUUCAGGCCGAGACCCUUCGUCAGGACUAACUGAAGGAAGGAAAGGAACAUGAGGCGAACGUAGUCAAUCUCACCUCAUCAGAGAGUAUGAGCUGACUGUAUUCAAUCUCCCCUCAUCAGUGAGUAUGAGGCGACCAUAUUUAAUCUCCCUUCACGGUAAAGCCAGCUGUGGAGAAAGAUAUGGACAUGAAGCUAAAGGAGUACGACGCGAAGUUGUACUGUACGCAGGUGGUUGCCGGGACAAUGUAUUACAUCAAGAUUCAUAUUGGACCCGGAGAUGAAUGCAUCCAUGUCAAGAUCUUUAUCCCACUCCCAAAUCUCGGACAAGAUACCUGCUUUGGAGGCACGCAGAAACACAAGAAACUCUCAGACCCGAUCAUCGGCUUCUAGAGCAGGAGGGGUUCUUUUGAAGACGCUGACCUGGAGUUACACGCAAGAAUUUCAACGCUUGAAUUUCCAGCAUCUGCAGAAUUCCUGUUGUUUGCGUUUAAAUUCACUACUGCGAAGCCUCUUCCGGUGAUGCCUACACCGAAGAAGUUUAGAUCCUCUCUUCGACGGGAGUUCAGUGAAACCAUCUCUCACUGCUCCCCAUCUGUGAUUUCUUCGGCUCUUCAACUUUUCGACCAGACUUUGACUCAAACUCGCUAUCAGCGCCUCUUCCUAUAGAUGCUGCCUGGCCUGCUGCGUUCACCAGCAACUUUGAUGUGUGUUGCUUGAAUUUCCAGCAUCUGCAGAAUUCCUGUUGUUACACGCAAGCUUCGGUUCUUUGAGGGAAUGGCAUCCACUCUCAGGGUUUCACGACUGGCCACUAUUCGACAUGCCAAACGUUUGCCCUGAGAGUCUCGAUCGUGUUCAGAAGCCUAAGAUCUUGGGGCUCUGGAGACGGUCGGAUCGAGGGUCAGUGUCACUCGUAUGUCGUCGGGGAGGCCGGAAAAUCUUUUGCUGUGUGCCCGAAGACCCGAGCUCUUUGCGAUCUUCGGGCACAGACCAAACGGACUUUUAAGAUCGUAAACCAGCGAGUUGUUGUUAUGUCUCCUGCCCGCUGUGAAGAUGGAGGACGCCUCCCUCUCCCUUGCAGGGGGAGAGAGAACCAGUGUGUUGUCGAAUUCCGAUGAAAUGCGAAACUUCCGGAGUAACUGCAAGAUCGGUGCCCUUGCUAUCGCUUAGCACACGCUUGGACUCGGUGAUUGUAUCGAUGUGCGUUACAUUUUGCGAGUGGGAGAAGGGGAUCGCUGUCGCUGACGGUGACCCGCGUCAGGGGAUUGCUGCCGGGACUUUGGGUUCUCACGUUUAACUAUCGUUCAUUCUUUGGGGCACUUCUCUGUUUUCGUGGAUGCUUUGCGAAGAAAAACAACAUUUCAGGAUGUAUAUUGUAUACAUUUCUCUGACAUUAAACUUGUCCUUUGGAACUUUGAAAGUCGGAGAAUU